AAUACUAAAUCCCUAAAACUAUUGUAAGCCUACUGCACUGUCGAAUCCAGCUCCGUCCACAUCCACUGCUCUGCUCCAUCCUCCAGGUGAUUCGUUGCGUUGAAGUUGUGAAGAGUCUUUUGCUCCAGCCGUUGAAGUCGUCAAGAGUCUUCUGUGUCUACUCCCGCCUCCGCGUCUGCCUCCAUCCUCGGUCGCGUCCGCGUCUGCUCCAGCCUUCGCGUCCUCCCGCCUCCGUCCGCGUCUAGCCUCCGCCAGUCCGCGUCCGUCCGUCCGGCGCCAUUUCAUGUGAAGACACAUCCGUCUCCAGCCUCAGCUCCACGUCCGUCUGCCACUUUCAGAAAAGCAGACUUUGUGCUAUUUCGAGAGGCGAGAUCUAUCCGUUCAACUUUUAAGAUUUCAAACUUCAAACCGGUGCCGGUACUAGCACGGAAAAAGAAAUAGUUACACAUUUAGCAACUGUUUUAGAAGAUGCAGACGAUUCUGAUGAAGAUGGCGUGGUGACUAAGGUAUGCUCAAGGAUUAACAUUAUUUUUUUUUUAUGACAUUAUUUGUUUAUUACAUUUUAAAUGUAGGAAUGAAUACAACUAAAGAUGGGAUGAUGUCAAGAAAGGUGAAAGAUUUGAUUGUGAAGUCGUUAAAGAGAGAAGGACGAGCUUUAUUGAAUUUUAAGUUGUAAACUUAUUUGAAUGUAUAAUAAUUGACUUCCUUAUUCAAACUUUAUUGAA